rnacentral:rRNA from 1 species
UACGUAGGGUGCAAGCGUUAAUCGGAAUUACUGGGCGUAAAGCGUACGCAGGCGGUUUUGUAAGUCUGACGUGAAAUCCCCGGGCUCAACCUGGGAAUUGCGUUGGAGACUGCAAGGCUGGAGUCUGGCAGAGGGGGGUAGAAUUCCACGUGUAGCAGUGAAAUGCGUAGAGAUGUGGAGGAACACCGAUGGCGAAGGCAGCCCCCUGGGUCAAGACUGACGCUCAUGCACGAAAGCGUGGGGAGCAAACAGG